AGAGAGAGAGAGAGAGAGAGAGAGAGAGGGGAAUACUGAAGUAGAGAGCGAAAGUGAAGAAGGAAACAAGAGGAGAGAAAUACCGAGGGUGGGAGAGGGAGAGGGAGAGGGAGAGGGAGAGGGGGAAGGGGGGUAAGAGAUCUGACAGUGGCGGAAAAGGAGGGCACGCGAAUGGGAGAGAAAAAGGCAGGCAGGCAAACCCCUCUCUUUUUUUGUGACGUAGAAAAGGGAAUGUGCUUAUGUAAUGAAAAUGGUAGUAGUAGUAGUAUUUAAUUUAAAACAGAGAGAGAGA
rnacentral:lncRNA from 1 species